rnacentral:rRNA from 1 species
AAGUAGGGGAUCGUAAGACCUUGCGCUUUUGGAGCGGCCGAUGUCUGAUUAGCUAGUUGGUGGGGUAAUGGCCUACCAAGGCUUCGAUCAGUAGCUGGUCUGAGAGGACGGCCAGCCACACUGGGACUGAGACACGGCCCAGACUCCUACGGGAGGCAGCAGUGGGGAAUUUUGGACAAUGGGCGCAAGCCUGAUCCAGCCAUGCCGCGUGAGUGAAGAAGGCCUUCGGGUUGUAAAGCUCUUUCAGCCGGGAAGAAAAGGUUGCGACUAAUAAUCGCAAUUCAUGACGGUACCGAAAGAAGAAGCACCGGCUAACUACGUGCCAGCAGCCGCGGUAAUACGUAGGGUGCGAGCGUUAAUCGGAAUUACUGGGCGUAAAGGGUGCGCAGGCGGCUUUGUAAGUCAGAUGUGAAAUCCCCGGGCUUAACCUGGGAAUUGCGUUUGAAACUACAAGGCUAGAGU